rnacentral:misc_RNA from 1 species
UCUUCUCCCACGCUCAGCUAUCAGA